GGGGCACAGCUGCCUCACCACGGUCCUCACCGUGGGGCUGCAGGGGAAUCGCAGCUCUGGUACCUGGAGCACCCCUGCCCCUCCUUCUUCACUGACCUUGGUGUCUGCAGAGUUGUUGCUCUCAUAUAUUCUCACUCCUUCUCUGGCUGCAAAUUACUUCUGCCCAAUAACUUUUUCUUUUCCUUCUUAAAUAUCUUAUCUCAGAGGCUCUACCACCAUCACCGAUGGGCUCGGCCUUGGCCAAUGGUGGGUCUGUCCUGGAGCCAGCUGCUAUUGGCUCUGUCAAGAUACAGCAGAAGCUUCUGUCAGCUUCUCACAGAAGCCAUCCCUGUAGGCCCCCCACUACCCAAACCUUGCCUGGAAAACUGAAAACACAGGCCCAGACAGCAGUUACUUUAGAUGACUUAACUCUUUUGCAAUUAAUUGCCUUGUAUGCAGAAUUUUAGGAGUUCGGGGUUUUUUGUCUUUGGGAGGUUUCUUUGUACUGCUUUAGACCCUGGUGCAAGAGCAAGCCUUAUGUCCAAAUACUGCCAUGUCAGGUGUGGGGUAAUGAUUAUGGAUGGGAGCUUGCUGAAACAGGGUUACUGUCUGGAGGGAAGAAAAAUUGGUCCUUGGACCCUUAACCAUCCCUUUCAUCCUGCUGUCAUUUUCUUCUGAAGAACACUGUGAAGCCCAUGGGCAAGAAGUACAGCUCAGAUGUGGAAGCACAAAGGACUGGAAAAGAACUGUGGAAACAUAACUGCCUGUGGUUUUUUGCACAGAAUUUGCUAAAAUAAAAGCACCAAGCUUCUGUGUUUUGAGUCCUGUCAUCUGAGUUCCUAAACCCUUCAAUUAGGCUGAAGCAUUCUCCAUUUCUUUGACUUCUCCAGAAGCUUUCCUCACAGAAAUAUGUUUUUAUUGUUUAAGGACAACUCUUCACCAGAAAAGGCUGAAGAAUACUUUGCCAGUGUCGUGCAUGCCAGGAUAAUAUCACUCACCUAGAUUGUGUUGGUACCCCUGGACACUGACACUUUAAGCUGCACUGCUCCAGUGCUUUGGGGUCUUGCUUUCCCUAGUGUUAUCUGUCUGGUGGGUCUGACAGGUUAUAUCCAGAUGUUUCCAACAGAUGUUGUCUCAGUAUGGGGGACAAAAGGGUCUCACCUUCAUAAUCAAAGAACAGCUCAUGGAGAUACAUGGACCAGUCUACUCUAUACGCUAACAGAAUAUGCAGUAUCAAAGUACUUAACAGUGAUGAAUGGAAUGAUUUCUCAUUAUCCCUGCUUAUUUAUGUCAUCUGUUUUUUCAUUGUUAUCUUCUUUUUAUUGACCAAUGUGCAAAUUUUUUUUUGAACGUAAGUUUGUCUAUUUAUGUUUAUAAAAUGCCAAUCAUUCUGCUGAUACUAUCAAAUAAUAAGUAAUAGUAGCAUGAGUCAAUGUACAUUGAAUAUACAAACCAAUACUUCAGAACUUCAUGAAUUUUCUUACACUGUGUUUAUGAGCUCCCUGAGUAUUUUAUGUGCAUUCAGGCCACUUCAGUUCCUGUGCUUGAUGUAAUUAAACCAGACUGUUGAAUUUUUUUUAACUAACCAACCUUGAUGGCCUCUCAUUAAUAAACAACUUGUUAAAUGACAAA